rnacentral:rRNA from 1 species
GUUAAAAAGCUCGUAGUUGGAUUUCUGUCGAGAACGGCCGGUCCGCACUAUGUGCGUGUAUCUGGUUCGGUCUUGGCAUCCUCUUGGAGAACGUAACUGCGCUUGAUUGCGUGGUGCGGUAUUCAAGACUUUUACUUUGAGGAAAUUAGAGUGUUCACGGCAGGCAAGCGCCUUGAAUAUAUUAGCAUGGAAUAAUAAUAUAGGAUCUCGGUUCUAUUUUGUUGGUUUCUAGAAUCAGGAUAAUGAUUAAUAGGGAUAAUUGGGGGCAUUUGUAUUAACGCGUCAGAGGUGGAAUUCUUGGAUUGCGUUACGACAAACUACUGCGAAAGCAUUUGCCAAGGAUGUUUUCAUUGAUCAAGAACGAAAGUAUGGGGAUCGAAGAUGAUUAGAUACCGUCGUAGUCUAUACCAUAAACUAUGCCAACUAGAGAUUGGAGGUCGUUCUUUUUAUGACUCCUUCAGCACCUUAUGAGAAAUCAAAGUCUUUGGGUUCCGGGGGGAGUAUGGUCGCAAGGCUGAAACUUAAAGGAAUUGACGGAAGGGCACCACCAGGAGUGGAGCCUGCAGCUUAAUUUGACUCAACACGGGAAAACUCACCAGGUCCAGACAUAGUAAGGAUUGACAGAUUGAUAGCUCUUUCUUGAUUCUACGGGUGGUGGUGCAUGGCCGUUCUUAGUUGGUGGAGUGAUUUGUCUGGUUUAUUCCGAUAA